GACGAACUGUCCUAACGUUGUUCGGAAUCACUGGGCUUAAAGGGCGCGUAGGCGGUCGAACAAGUCAGGGGUGAAAUCCUACAGCUUAACUGUAGAAGUGCCUUUGAUACUGUUUGUCUUGAGGGAGAUAGGGGUGUGCGGAACUUCCAGUGGAGCGGUGAAAUGCGUUGAUAUUGGAAGGAACGCCGGGGGCGAAAGCGGCGCACUGGAUCUCUUCUGACGCUGAGGCGCGAAAGCUAGGGGAGCAAACGGG
rnacentral:rRNA from 1 species